UUGUAAAACCCUUUGUUUCUCCUCGCGCUCUUGCCUUCGAGCAAUUUCUCUUCAAUUUGAAAUUUGGCAACAUUUCAGUCUGUGAGUCUGUUGUUGACUUGUUGUGACGCUAUCCAUCCUCCAACAGGGAAUGAAUUUUUUCAAGUUUUUUUUCUGUAAAUACAUUUUCUUUUUUUUUUAAUUUGUGGAAUCAACUCGCCAUUUACUACUCUGGAAUUGAAUCCCCUAUCAAGAUUCCAACUAAUAUCCUUACUAUAUAGUGGAUUCAUCAAAUCUGUUUUAAACUAGCUUGUUUGAGAAGUGAACCUUUAUCGAUAAGUCCUAACAUCUCAUAUGGAUCUUCACAUCAGCUCUUGCCCCAACUGUGGCCCGUUUCUCAUGUCUAGGCUACAUCACAGCUUCUUCAGCAAUUAGUCUUCAUGGUGACAUAAAGAAAUUUACCUACAUCAGCUUGAUCUGAAAAUCAGCUUUAGUCCCCGCUUCUGAUCUGUUUAGCACAGCUGUUCAUCUCAGCCAAAUCUGCACAUCAACCGAGACAUCAACUAUACAGCCAACACUCAUCUAAUACACUGUCCUCAGUUAUAUUAACCAUAUUAUAUUGUAUUGUAUUAUUGUUAUAUUAUUGUCCCAGUUUACACAUAACUUUGUAUGCUGUGAAUUCUGAUGCUGUCUAAUGAUUUCCAAUUAAAAAGCAGCGUGUUUAUCUCAUAAUAUGUUUCCAUCAUAAUUAUGUGUAAAAUUGUGCUGUUUCUUGUUCGAUUGAGACAUGUUGUUUUUAAAUACAGAAUAUAGCAUGGUCAGACUUGACUGAUGAUGCUUUUUCCUACAAA